AUCCAAAUAUUUUUCAAAAUAUUUUCGGGAACAAGAAAAGCUAGCACCCCAAGAGAGCAAGACAAGGGCGGGGGGAGAGGAUGGAGGUCGAGUUCUCUGAAAGCGGUGGAGAUGGGACCCUUCUCAUACUGCCUUGGAAUAUUUACAUUUCAGAGGAAACCAGUCAGAUGGCCAGGCCUGCAAGAAAUGCACAGCACCAUCCUUCUCUCCUGGCAGCGAAGUACACAGUGCUGCCUCUUAGAAGGUCCACCGUAAAAUGUAAGGAUGCUCUGUGUAGGAAACAGUGCUGUGCCAAGGUGAAGACCAUCUGUCUGCCUUUGUAACCACAUUCAUUGUCAGCUCCAUGGAACUAAUCCAACUGAGUAGGAAGGUGUGAACUUACUUUCUCUCCUGAAGAUUCAUUCUACAGUAAAGGACGACGAAUCCCUUCCCACUUGGAAGGUCUUUGUUUUCUACUCUCCCCAGCUUGAAAUAAGUGCUUCUGAAAGUUAAAGUCAUGGGCCAGAAUGUGUUAUAAACUACAGAAAGGCUUUGUAAAUGUUAACACUUUGAUUUCCUUAAAUUUUAUCUCACUUGGAAUGAUUCCCAGUAUGAAAAAGAUAUCUAAUUUAGAUUAAAAAAAUAAAUUCUCACUGGAUAUAGAACUAUGUUAUCUAUAUACUCACACACAUCAAAUGAUCAGUGUAAAUUCCUACUGUCUUCAAUUCCUCCUCUUAUUCUCUCCUGAAGCCUGUUGAGACUUUUGCCUUGUCCAUUCUUCUAGCACAGAUCUUGUCAAGAUCACCAAUAUCUCCCAUGUAGCUAAAUCUUUAAGUCAUUUCUCAGACCUUAUCUAAAUUGACUUAUCAACAGCAUUCAACAUAUUUGAGUCCUUAUCACUUCCUUGAACCCCCCCGCCCCCAUUUGACUUUGAGGAGUCCAUAUUCUCUUGAUUUUUUUCUCCCUCACCAGUCAUUCUUUCUGUCUGCUUUGCUAGUUUCUCUUCACAUCCCAUACUUCCAGAUGUUAAAAUGCCCGGGGCUCAGAACUCUUUUUUCCCUGCUUCUAAAUUCUCACUCUCUUGGUUAUCUCAUCCAUUUCAGUACUUAAAUACCAUAUAUAUAUAUAUAUAUAUACCCCCCAAGUCUAUACCUCCUCUCUAAACCCCAGGGACAGAUAUCCAAACACCUCAACAUCUCCACUUAGGCAUCUCAAACAAACAUGUCUCAACAUUCUUCCAGAUCUGCUCCUCUUGAACUUUUUCCAAUUUUGGUAAAGGCCAACACCAUCUUUCCAAGUGUUAAGCCAGAGCUUUGGAGUCAAUCUGGAUUCUUUUUUUGUUACCCUCCUCAUCCAAUCCAAUGGCAAAUCCUAUUGGCUCAAGUUUGAGAACACACCCAAAGUCCCUGACUUCUCCCCAACUGCACCACUAUCAUCUGAUCUGAAACAUCAUCUCGUGUCAGAUUACAUCACUCCGUCCUCAAAACUCUCCAGUGGCUCCCCAUUUCAGGUAAUGUACAACUUCCAAGGCCAAAAAGGAUCUUAAACCCUCAGCUCCUAUUACUUUGCUGAUCUCAUUCUUUAUUAUUUACCCCCUUGCUAGUUCCAUCCCGUGUCCCACUGGCCUCUUUGUUGCUCUUCAAACCUCCAGGUAUGCUCAUGUUUUGGGCUGUGUGUUUUUUCCUCUGUCUAGAAUUCUUUUUUUCAUCUCUACAUGACUUCUUUUCUCAUUUGCUUUGAGUCUUUGCUCAAAGACUACCUCUGCAAUAAAGCCUCCCCUGACUGUUCUAUCUAAAGUUGCAACUCUUUCCACUCUCUGUCACAUGGCCUUAUUUUAUAUUUCUUCAUAGCACUGAUUGUUAUCUCACCUUAUGUUUCUAUUGAUUUGUAUACAGUCUCUGCCCUCCACUAGAAUAUAAGUUCUAUUAGGGCAAAACUUUGUCUUGUUCAGCCCAAUGCUUAGAACAGAAUCUUAUACAAAGGAGGUGCCUGAUAAAUAUCAAGUAUGAUUGCCACACAGGAAUGCCAUUUUCUGAAAUGAAGAUUAAAUUGGUAUACUCAUAAAUGAGGUAAAACCCUCACAAACAUAUAUAAAUAUAUAUUUUGAAUUCACAGGGAAAAGUUUGCUAUGGAGUUGGAAAUAAAUGAGUGAGUAACCUGUGUAUUAGACACUGCAGAAUAGAGAGAUAUUUACACAAAUUAUAUUGAAAAUUGGGAAUCUAAAGAAGAUUUUAUAAAUGUAAUGAAUUUUUGAAAACUCAACACUUUUUAUUAAAAAUUAAAGAAUUAAACAUCCUAA